AAAGAAAAGACAGUUGUAUGAUUGGCCUACCCUCUCUGUAUGGGAAGAUGCUAUGAUGGAUGUUUACCUGGUCUCUUAAAUUGAUUCUUAGUCUGAAGUUAGUCACAACAAAAAUGCAUUGAAUUGAAUAUGUAUUUGCACUAUUAUGCCCUACCAAUUUCAUUAUUUCAUUGUUUAAACUGUCCGUGUAGGUUGUUAAAACUUGAUUUGGAUUGGGUUGUCCUUGUCUUGAGCAUAUCGAAAGAAUAAACUUUAAAUUAGAGUUUUCUCCUGCUCCAUGAGUUGUAUUGCAUGUAUCAUUUGGUUGACUACAUGUUAAUUGCUGAAAUCAUCUUUGAAGGAUGUUAAACAACAUGUUUUUGUUCCAGGAUUGCCAAGUACCAGGAAGCAA
rnacentral:misc_RNA from 1 species